AUUGAACGCUGGCGGCAUGCCUUACACAUGCAAGUCGAACGGCAGCACGGGAGCAAUCCUGGUGGCGAGUGGCGAACGGGUGAGUAAUAUAUCGGAACGUGCCCAGUCGUGGGGAUAACGUAGCGAAAGCUACGCUAAUACCGCAUACGAUCUAUGGAUGAAAGCGGGGGAUCGCAAGACCUCGCGCGAUUGGAGCGGCCGAUAUCAGAUUAGGUAGUUGGUGAGGUAAAGGCUCACCAAGCCGACGAUCUGUAGCUGGUCUGAGAGGACGACCAGCCACACUGGGACUGAGACAGGCCCAGACUCCUACGGGAGGCAGCAGUGGGGAAUUUUGGACAAUGGGCGCAAGCCUGAUCCAGCAAUGCCGCGUGCAGGAUGAA
rnacentral:rRNA from 1 species